GCCGGGCGUGGUGGCGCUCACCUGUAGUCCCAGCUACUCGGGAGGCUGAGGCCGGAGGAUCGCUUGAGCCCAGGAGGUCAAGGGUGCAGUGAGCUGUGAUUGUGCCACUGCACUCCAGCCUGGGUGACAGAGAGAGACCCUGCCCCCC
ensembl:misc_RNA Metazoa_SRP Metazoan signal recognition particle RNA